rnacentral:rRNA from 1 species
UACGAAGGUGGCAAGCGUUGUUCGGAUUUACUGGGCGUAAAGGGAGCGUAGGUGGUUAGGUAAGCCCUCCGGGAAAUCUUCAGGCUUAACCUGAAAAGGUCGGGGGGACUGCCUAGCUAGAGGGCGGGAGAGGAGCGCGGAAUUCCCGGUGUAGCGGUGAAAUGCGUAGAGAUCGGGAGGAAGGCCGGUGGCGAAGGCGGGUCUCUGGGCCAUUACUGACGCUGAGGAGCGAAAGCGUGGGGAGCGAACAGG